UUUUGGACAAUGGGGGAAACCCUGAUCCAGCCAUCCCGCGUGUAUGAUGAAGGCCUUNNNGUUGUNAAGUACUUUUGGUAGAANAGANAAGGUAUCUCCUAAUACGAGAUACUGCUGACGGUAUCUGCAGAAUAAGCACCGGCUAACUACGUGCCAGCAGCCGCGGUAAUACGUAGGGUGCAAGCGUUAAUCGGAAUUACUGGGCGUAAAGCGUGUGUAGGCGGGUCGGAAAGAAAGAGGUGAAAUCCCAGGGCUCAAACCUGGAACUGCAUUUUUAAAUGCCGAGGUAGAGUAUGUCAGAGGGGGGUAGAAAUCCACGUGUAGCAGGGAAAUGCGUAGAUAUGGGGAGGAAUACCGAUGGCGAAGGCAGCCCCCUGGGAUAAUACUGACGCUCAGACACGAAAGCGUGGGGAGCAAACAG
rnacentral:rRNA from 1 species